rnacentral:rRNA from 1 species
UUGCUCUUAUGAAGUUAGCGGCGGACGGGUGAGUAACACGUGGGUAACCUGCCCAUAAGACUGGGAUAACUCCGGGAAACCGGGGCUAAUACCGGAUAACAUUUUGAACCGCAUGGUUCGAAAUUGAAAGGCGGCUUCGGCUGUCACUUAUGGAUGGACCCGCGUCGCAUUAGCUAGUUGGUGAGGUAACGGCUCACCAAGGCAACGAUGCGUAGCCGACCUGAGAGGGUGAUCGGCCACACUGGGACUGAGACACGGCCCAGACUCCUACGGGAGGCAGCAGUAGGGAAUCUUCCGCAAUGGACGAAAGUCUGACGGAGCAACGCCGCGUGAGUGAUGAAGGCUUUCGGGUCGUAAAACUCUGUUGUUAGGGAAGAACAAGUGCUAGUUGAAUAAGCUGGCACCUUGACGGUACCUAACCAGAAAGCCACGGCUAACUACGUGCCAGCAGCCGCGGUAAUACGUAGGUGGCAAGCGUUAUCCGGAAUUAUUGGGCGUAAAGCGCGCGCAGGUGGUUUCUUAAGUCUGAUGUGAAAGCCCACGGCUCAACCGUGGAGGGUCAUUGGAAACUGGGAGACUUGAGUGCAGAAGAGGAAAGUGGAAUUCCAUGUGUAGCGGUGAAAUGCGUAGAGAUAUGGAGGAACACCAGUG